UCGCAUCCCUUCACUAUUUUUUCUCUGGUCUCUCCGCCUUCAACUCUUCUCUACUUCCAUCACCACCACAGACAAUAGAUCAGCAUCCUCCAGUUCCAUCACCACCACAACAAUACCUUCUCCUCCAUCUUCUCGAUUGAUUUAGUUUGUAUGCUUAUAAUCAACGAAACACAUAAAAACCCGAGUAUACAAAUCUUUAUUUUUUCUCACUUCAGAAAUUGAAACUCACUGUUAGAAAUCAAAGCUUUAUCUGAACCCAUAUCUGAAAACCAAAACCCAUGUAUCAGAAGAAAUCAAGAGGAAGCUUUCUAACCCUAGAUUUAGUAUUUAGUUGUUCUUGAAAUCAUCUGGCUAAUAUCAAUUGCUCUUGAAAUCAUCAGGUGAGCUGUUUAUUUUUCUAUUUUAUCUUACAAGAAAACUCAUUAAGGAGGUAGAAGAUCUCUUCUCCUAUUGUUCUGGAACUCUGUAAAGAAUGACUCAACCCCAUCAUAGAAAGGGUAUCCUACACCAGCAGAAUUGAUUAUCCAAAGUCAGAUUCAAGGCUUAUAAUUACCAUAAUAUUGCAAGGAUACUAGCUCAAAUCAAGAAUUCUUAAGAAUAGAGGGAAGUAGAUGGAGUUAUGCAAAGGCUUGCAGAGAUACAAACUAGCAGGAUAUUGGCUAUACGCUGAUCAAUACAUGAAACAAAACUAUUGUAGUUUCCUUAUGGAACGGUCUUGCCACCACCAUGGGCCAAGAGUUGUUGGAUGUUCUUGACAGCGAUCUGAUUAUGGCAAUCAAAUCUCUAAAGGUUGGAAACCUCCAAGGUGAUACUAAUAUAGUUGGAGAAGAAGCGGGCGGCGGAGAAUAUUAUAUGUGGGUCGAGUGAAGUAACUUAGUACAUGAAUGGUGACUGCUUUGUCAACAAAACAUAGCCAAUGAUACAAGGAGUCCGUAGAUUAUUGUGGGAUCUUCAGCAAAUGAUGUUAUAAAGAGCUGCGAGCUAAUGUGUUGGAAAAAAUAGAAUCAGUUAGCAUCAGGGAGGAAGAUACCCUCUUAACUGUGAGCUAUCAAGUAAGGUUGUCAUCUUUUUGUAAUUACCUUACUCAAUUACAUGGGAAUAAUAAUACUAAUUGUACGAAAGUACUUGAGGUGUUACUCGACAUGGUUUCAGGAGUUACUCGAGAUGGUUUGUUGAUGAGAAUGAAGAAAUCUCAGUUGCAGGAUGUUAUUAACUUAUCUUAUAAGGUGUAUUUCUCUGUAUACAAGUAUCUCUAAAUAAUGACAUGGCUAGUUUCAUGUGCAGAAGCUUCAGAUCUCCAAUUUGUUGUUUAAUCAAAUGUCUACUAGUUCAUCAUUUUGUUAUUCAAUCUUAGAACUUACUAGCUAGCUAGAAAUUAUAUAUUAUUUUGAACUCAGUAUUUCAAUCCUUGUCUGUGUAAUUUUAAACCUAAUGGAUACAAUGAAUGAAUGUUGAAUUUUGAGUUUGAGUUCGACUUUGA